rnacentral:misc_RNA from 1 species
UACGUAGGUGGCAAGCGUUGUCCGGAAUUAUUGGGCGUAAAGCGCGCGCAGGCGGCCUGUUAAGUCUGAUGUGAAAGCUCCCGGCUCAACCGGGGAGGGUCAUUGGAAACUGGACGGCUUGAGUGCAGAAGAGAAGAGCGGAAUUUCACGUGUAGCAGUGAAAUGCGUAGAGAUGUGGAGGAACACCAGUGGCGAAGGCGGCUCUUUGGUCUGUAACUGACGCUGAGGGGCGAAAGCGUGGGUCGCAAACAGG